UACGAAGGGGGGCUAGCGUUGCUCGGAAUCACUGGGCGUAAAGGGCGCGUAGGCGGACUCUUAAGUCGGGGGGUGAAAGCCCAGGGCUCAACCCUGGAAUUGCCUUCGAUACUGAGAGUCUUGAGUUCGGAAGAGGUUGGUGGAACUGCGAGUGUAGAGGUGAAAUUCGUAGAUAUUCGCAAGAACACCAGUGGCGAAGGCGGCCAACUGGUCCGAUACUGACGCUGAGGCGCGAAAGCGUGGGGAGCAAACAGG
rnacentral:rRNA from 1 species